ensembl:lncRNA LINC01808 long intergenic non-protein coding RNA 1808
GGAAGAAGGCAGAUUUCUCUCAAAAAACUACAUAAAUUCAAUCUGCUGGAGAAAGAAGAGAGUUGAGAUGGAAAAGGGGGCAAUAUUUAGUAGUCACUGUGUAGGUCUCAGAGAAGGGACUCUGCUCCCAUCUUCCUCUCUUGUAGAGCUAGGCCCAGCCCUAGAGAAGGUGAUCUAAACGGUAGUCAGGUUUGGGAUGGGGAGUGGGAAUUCUUGGAAGACAGCACUGCAUUCCGCCUCCUGUUGAGUAGGCUGAGUUUAGAGCCUCUCAGAUGUGCCCUGCCCCUCAGUGCAAUGAACUGGAAGAGGAAAUUGGAAUAUCUAAGAAGAAAGGGAUUGUGAGAGGGCAUCCAAACAUUUCUUAUGUUCUUGAAGGUCCUGGAUCAGAAGAUGCCUGACAAGAGGCCACUAUCAGCAGCAACAGCACAGUGGGGACAAACCUGAGACCUUGAUGGACCGUGGACACCAGCAGGAGAGACAGAGGAACUUGAAGUCUAAAUGGGCAGACAAGACCAACAUACACAAAGCAGAGAGUGGCACAAGAGCCAUGUCUGAUGCAACAGUGACUCAGGAGGAUCACUCUGACUCAGAAUGGCCAAGCAAAGGUAUUGGGAGGAAGUGGGAUAGAACUGAGCUUUGAAGACCGUGCUAAAAUAUUUACAGACUCCCCAGGUUAUCUCAAGUUCUCUCCAGGAAUUAGCUUCACCUCUUUGUGCUUUGGCUCCACAUCAGUUAAAUAGUGGUAACGUUUGAUCGUUAAGAACCAUGUAGAGAUGAAACAAUUUUCAAAGUUUUUUAAUUAAGUGUACUCAUUGCCACUCAAAGACAAAUACCAUAUAAAUAUAAUAAUAAUCAUAUUGAGAAACAAAAUAGCAAUGAUGCAGAUACUCAUGUACUGUUUCAUGUUUGUGGUCUUUGAGGGGAGUUUUUACUCAAAUAUCCCUAGAUGAAUAAAUACAUAUGGUCUAUAAAUAUGUCCCAAAGCAAUUUUCUCCACUUGAACCUACAUAUACUUCACUAUAGAACUGAAAACAAA